rnacentral:pre_miRNA from 1 species
AAUAAACGAAUUUCUGAGUUUUUUUUAUGAAAAUUUUGAUUCUUCGUCUUAUUUUAAAUUUUGUUAUGAUUAAUAUUUUUAUUGUUACUACGUGAUAAAACAUGAAUAAUACUUUGCAUGCAAUUAAAUUUUUUUAAUUUUUUAAUAAAUUUUUCAAAUAAGAUGGAUGGUCAAAUGCUCGAACUAAAAAACCCAG